AAUGGGGGAAACCCUGAUGCAGCAACGCCGCGUGAGGUAUGAAGGCCUUUGGGUUGUAAGCCUCUGUCCUAGGGGAAGAAAAAAAUGACGGUACCCGAGGAGGAAGCCCCGGCUAACUACGUGCCAGCAGCCGCGGUAAUACGUAGGGGGCAAGCGUUAUCCGGAAUUAUUGGGCGUAAAGAGUGCGUAGGUGGUCUACUAAGCGCGAGGUGAAAGGCAAUGGCUCAACCAUUGUUAGCCUUGUGAACUGGCAGACUUGAGUGCAAGAGAGGAAAGCGGAAUUCCUAGUGUAGCGGUGAAAUGCGCAGAUAUUAGGAGGAACACCGGCGGCGAAGGCGGCCUUCUGGAUUGUAACUGACACUGAGGCACGAAAGCGUGGGUAGCAAACAGGAUUAGAUACCCUGCUAGUCCACGCCGUAAACGAUGAGCACUAGGUGUCGGGACAUGAGUCUCGGUGCCGCAGUUAACGC
rnacentral:rRNA from 1 species